rnacentral:ncRNA from 1 species
GAGGAGGGCCCUCCGCAAUCGCCAUACAGGUGGAGGUUGCAAAACACUUAUAGGUGCUCCGGGCAAAAUCCGGGGUGCUGAGCGUAUAAGAAAAGGCGAAAAAAAAAUCGUCAG